CCUACGGGUGGCAGCAGUGAGGAAUAUUGGUCAAUGGGCGGGAGCCUGAACCAGCCAAGUCGCGUGAGGGAAGACGGUCCUAUGGAUUGUAAACCUCUUUAGGCGGGGAGCAAUGCCGGGCACGCGUGCCCGGAGGGAGAGUACCCGCAGAAUAAGCAUCGGCUAACUCCGUGCCAGCAGCCGCGGUAAUACGGAGGAUGCGAGCGUUACCCGGAAUGAUUGGGUUUAAAGGGUGCGUUGGCGGAUUUUUAAGUCAGCGGGAAAAUGUGCGGGCUCAACUCGGGCCGGCCGUUGAAACUGGGGAUCUUGAGUGGGCGAGAAGUAUGCGGAAUGCGUGGUGUAGCGGUGAAAUGCAUAGAUAUCACGCAGAACUCCGAUUGCGAAGGCAGCAUACCGGAGCCCGACUGACGCUGAGGCACGAAAGCGUGGGGAUCGAACAGGAUUAGAUAUCCGAGUAGUC
rnacentral:rRNA from 1 species